GAAUGAAAUCACCAAAACGCUUAGAAAAUAUGUCAAUUUUCUUUCUGUUUAAAGCUUUUAACUAACAUUGAUUAUCAGCUGUUUUGUACGGAAAACGUGGAAUCUAAAUAAUAUACCGUUUCCCUGCUCUGCUGCUAUUGGCAACACAUUUUUGUCAUGUCAUCUGCAACAGACGAUCAUACAUAUGUGGCGGAUUAUCGAUAUAGAUAAAACUAGGUAGCAAUAGCAGUGGAAGCCCGGAUUUGCAAGCCAAAUGAGGGAAAGACAGAAUUCUGAAAAGGAGCAUGUUUUUCAUUUCCACACAUGCAUGUGUAUCACUAUGGACAUCUAAUGUUUUUGUGGGAUUUUGUCCAGCAGUUUGCCUUAAAAGAAUUUUUUUAUAUUUUAGUUUCAUA